GUAUGGUGUGCCUCGUUCCAGGACGGCCUUCAGAGGGUUUGUGAGCAGAGGAAGCCUCAGUGGUCUGGCAUCGUGCUAUGACAGUUCCUAUGAUUUCUGCCAAGUGAAGACUAUUGACUUUAUCCCACGUGUGCAGUUGUUCGGACGCUCUUCUGACCCCUAGACAGCGCCUCACCCAAAGCUGAACCUACUACAGGCACAGCCCAGAGAUCACCUACAAGACCCUUUGCUGCCACCUGCUGGAGAACUCUCGGAAUAAAUAUCCACUUUUGCCACCAAUUGUUGGAGGCCGUGAAGCCAUAACUGAGAUGCGUUACAGUGGAAAUGAGAAGCACUCCUCUGAAUCAGGAAGGUGCCGGUGCCUCCUUAGAGCGGGUGUUCUCGCGGUCAGGGAGCCCGUAAGUCUCCCCGCUCCUACUGCCUGGCCUGGACCAAUCGUGAAGAAAGAAAGAGUCGGACCGAGGAGGACCAGACGGCGGGCGUGAAACGAGCACCCAGAUGUAGACCCCGCCACGCCCUGGUUCCCUGGCGGGCCGCGAAGGCUGUCCGAGGGUGGGAAGCGCCGCCGGCCCAGAGAGGGUCAGGGCAAACCCGU